AGGGAUAUAGUACAGUUGGAAGUACUGAAGUCUGUCCUAUCUUCAAGCGAAAGUUCAAUUCUUUCUAUCCCUC
rnacentral:tRNA from 1 species